CUUAAAGGAAUUGACGGGGACCCGCACAAGCAGCGGAGCGUGUGGUUUAAUUCGUUGCUACACGAAGAACCUUACCUGGUUUGACAUAUAGGUUGUAGGGAACUGAAAAGGACGACCCUUCGGGAGCCUAUACAGGUGUUGCAUGGCUGUCGUCAGCUCGUGUCGUGAGAUGUUCGGUUAAGUCCGCUAACGAGCGCAACCCUCGUCGUAUGUUAUAUGUGUCAUACGAGACUGCCGGUAAAAGCCGGAGGAAGGUGAGGAUGAUGUCAAGUCAGCAUGACCUUUAUAUCCAGGGCUACACACACGCUACAAUGGUCUGUACAAUGGGUAGCCAAGCCGCGAGGCGGAGCCAAUCCUGAAAGCAGGCCUCAGUUCAGAUUGCAGUCUGCAACUCGACUGCAUGAAGCCGGAGUUGCUAGUAACCGCAGGUCAGCAAUACUGCGGUGAAUACGUUCCCGGGUCUU
rnacentral:rRNA from 1 species